rnacentral:rRNA from 1 species
UUUCGAGCUCCGGCUCGACUCUCCCACCCUUUGUGAACGUACCUCUGUUGCUUUGGCGGCUCCGGCCGCCAAAGGACCUUCAAACUCCAGUCAGUAAACGCAGACGUCUGAUAAACAAGUUAAUAAACUAAAACUUUCAACAACGGAUCUCUUGGUUCUGGCAUCGAUGAAGAACGCAGCGAAAUGCGAUAAGUAAUGUGAAUUGCAGAAUUCAGUGAAUCAUCGAAUCUUUGAACGCACAUUGCGCCCCUUGGUAUUCCGGGGGGCAUGCCUGUUCGAGCGUCAUUACAACCCUCAAGCUCUGCUUGGAAUUGGGCACCGUCCUCACUGCGGACGCGCCUCAAAGACCUCGGCGGUGGCUGUUCAGCCCUCAAGCGUAGUAGAAUACACCUCGCUUUGGAGCGGUUGGCGUCGCCCGCCGGACGAACCUUCUGAACUUUUCUCAAGGUUGACCUCGGAUCAGGUAGGGAUACCCGCUGAACUUAAGCAUAUCAA